GACGAACGCUGGCGGCGUGCUUAACACAUGCAAGUUGAACGGAAAGGCCCUGCUUUUGUGGGGUGCUCGAGUUGCGAACGGGUGAGUAACACGUGAGUAACCUGCCCUUGACUUUGGGAUAACUUCAGGAAACUGGGUCUAAUACCGGAUAGGAGCUCCCGCUGCAUGGUGGGGGUUGGAAAGUUUCGGCGGUUGGGGAUGGACUCGCGGCUUAUCAGCUUGUUGGUGGGGUAGUGGCUUACCAAGGCCUUGACGGGUAGCCGGCCUGAGAGGGUGACCUGCCCCAUUGGGACUGGGAUGAGGCCCGGCCUCCUACGGGAGGGAGCAGUGGGGAAUAUUGCACAAUGGGCGGAAGCCUGAUGCAGCCACGCCGCGUGGGGGAUGACGGCCUUCGGGUUGUAAUCCGCUUUCGCCUGUGACGAAGCGUGAGUGACGGUAAUGGGUAAAGAAGCACCGGCUAACUACGUG
rnacentral:rRNA from 1 species